rnacentral:rRNA from 1 species
GGCUGAAAUUCGCCUUCAUGAAGCCGGAAUUGCUAGUAAUGGCAGGUCAGCAUACUGCCGUGAAUACGUUCCCGGGCCUUGUACACACCGCCCGUCACACCAUGAGAGUUGGGGAUACCCGAGGCCUGUGAGCUAACAGUAAUGGAGCAGCAGUCGAAGGUAGAAUCAAUGAUUGGGGUGAAGUCGUAACAAGGUAAC